AAUAAGUUCAUUUUUCAGUUUUUAGAUACAAUAUGUUCACUCUUCGUCUUAUUUAAAAAAAUUUUGUGAUUAAUAUUUUUAUUAUUACUAGAUGAUAAAAUAUGAAUAGUAUUUUAUAUGUGAUGUUUUUAAACAAAAUUUUCAAAUAAGACGAAUGAUUAAAAGUUGGACACAUAAAUU
rnacentral:pre_miRNA from 1 species